GAGUUUGAUCGUGGCUCAGGACGAACGCUGGCGGCGCGCCUAACACAUGCAAGUCGAACGGAGCUAUUUUGGCAGAACCCUUCGGGGGGAAGCUGGUUUAGCUUAGUGGCGGACGGGUGAGUAACACGUGAGCAACCUGCCUUUCAGAGGGGGAUAACGUUUGGAAACGAACGCUAAUACCGCAUAACGCAGCGGGCCGGCAUCGGCCUGCUGCCAAAGGAGCAAUCCGCUGAAAGAUGGGCUCGCGUCCGAUUAGAUAGUUGGUGAGGUAACGGCCCACCAAGUCGACGAUCGGUAGCCGGACUGAGAGGUUGAACGGCCACAUUGGGACUGAGACACGGCCCAGACUCCUACGGGAGGCAGCAGUGGGGAUAUUGCACAAUGGGCGAAAGCCUGAUGCAGCGACGCCGCGUGAGGGAAGACGGCCUUC
rnacentral:rRNA from 1 species